AGAUAUUCUAAAGAUCUUCAAUACUUAGGCUUCGUUUGAGAUUGCCGAAAAACUGAGAUACGUGCGGUGGAAAAAUACUAUGAAAAAAUAUUAUGUCUUUUUUCGUACGUAAUAUUGUGUUUCGCAUAUCGAUAAGUCGGUUAUGAUAUAUUUUCUGCAAUGCCAUCAGAGAGAAUGCCAUCAGAGAGCGUAGAGAUAUAUUCUAUUUUAUCUAACAGCUUCAGAUAAACCUCAAUACCAAACUAAGCCUUAUAAUAUUUUCAGCUGUUGCAGAUCACAUUGAACUAAUUUGCUAUUAAGUUAUGUUAGAUGUUGGAUAGUUGUUGGGCUAUAAUAUUAUCAUUUUAUAUAUAUUUGGGUCUCUGUUCUCUGCGUUUAUUAUAACACAUAAUUGAAGUGUUAAAAUCAUGUUACCAGUGUAGUUACAUUCUUUUGUGCAUUUUUGUGGUACAGCCUUGCUGCUCUCUGCUGCUGCUGCCUCAUCGACGAGUGCUGCUGCGAUCCGUCGGUCAUAUUCGUUAGCUGAGCACUUCCUAUAUCUACAGAUUUUCUUUUUUUUCCUCUUUUUUUUUUUUUUUUUUUUUUGGGUCUUGAAGUAUAUGUAGUUCUUCUUUGUGGUUUAUGCUUAUUGAUUAUGGAAACAAUGGAGUUUGAUCUUUGUGUAUUUACUGAAUCAUAACUUUAUCAAAUAAUUAAUUUUUUUUUCCCAAUUUGCGUUUCUGUGUGAUGAUCAUCACUAGGUUAUGUUUUCUGCUGUAAUUUAUUGAAUUCCUUAAGAUGAUGCAGUUGCCUUCUAUGUUCGGUGCAAUUCUUUAAUUAUUAUAUGCAAAAAUUAGGAAGUAGAAAGAAGCAGCGAGAGUAUUUAGAAUUAGGAAGUAGAAAGAAGCAGCGAGAGUAUUUAGGACCUGUUUGGAUGCUGAACCUGAUUCAAAGCCCAUUCUAUUAUUAUUGGAUACGUUGCGAGAAAAGAGUCGCUUAGGACAACAAUUUAGAUUACUCAUCACAUAAAGAAGCCUGAUGUGGCAUUGACUCUUUCAAGUGCCAUAUAUGUGUGUAUUUAUGUAUGUAUGGACUCAUGCAUAUACACGUGUGACAAGAACUCAUAUUCUAUAACAAGCGUAUUGAACGGCCCUGUAUCAACUCACUUGGAAUGCAUAACUUCAAUAUACAUAAAAGCUCCAAGUGUUUUCUAAAGUAUACUUCAAUCCAAGUUAAAACUAGCAUAGAGUUUUUGUUAUACGAGAAAGUUUAUUAUGUCACACCUACAUUACAUCAUCAAUAAACAGCCAAUCAUAUCUCUCUUUUUUUAAAAAAAAUCAAUCCAAGAGAAUAAUUUGAUUGAUAUCACAUCAUCAAUAAGCAGCCAAUCAUAUCUCUUUUUUUUAAAAAAAAUCAAUCCAAGAGAAUAAUUUGAUUGAUCGAGAACGUCACAUCAUUAAUAUAAUUGAUGCAUUCUAUACAAGAAGCCAAUCCCAUCUCUACUUGCAACCCAAAAAAGCACAAUUUCUAUAUGGCAGGUUACUGAAUACUUGGGCGAGGUAUAGGCAACUACAUAUUCUUGAUAAAAUACAUCACAGCUCUGUCGCGCCAUAUCCAUAUUCAAGAGCCGAGCAGCACGAUAGAUAUUCAAGAACAAAAAAACUAAUGCAAGAAACAAUCCAUUGUGGGCUUUUCAAUAAUAUACAUGACAUGAUAUACUGUUAAUACUUGAUUGAUCUUUACACAGCAUCCCAUAUUGUGACAUUCAAUGGUGUCUAUUUUGGAGGCGGAGUAAGCUUAUUUUGCUCAUUCUCAUGCUUUGAUGUCGAAUCCCCAGCCAUAAGUUCAUGGAAAGCUUCGACUUUCACUGGUGUCAUUCUCAUACUAUAUGGAUUCCUGCAUAAAUUAGAAAAGGCAAAAUGUAAGACGUUCAAACAUUAGAAGCAAAGUGCUGUUCCAUUGUCUCAGCUGUUUGCUUUUGUCCUCGAGUUCUUUGGGGUUAAAAGCACUCAGCAAUGACCGGCCUUAAUAUUGCUAUUGGGGUCGAAAAGAAAAGGAAAAAAAAAGAAUUUGCAAAUCAAUCAACAAAACCAAGAAUUAAAGAAGCCUAUCCUAAGUGCCUUCAACCACACAAAACUUCAGCAAAACCAGAUUAAAAAACGUAAAGAAUGCCAAAUGGGCCCAAAAGUAACUGAUUUAAGCAUAGAACUAACAAAAUUUAGAAUCAUACUGUGCUUGCAGUUGAGGAAGUUGAACAGGUGGAAGUUGAUUGAACUGCUGAGCCGAUUGAGCUUGGUGAUUGGCCAUAGCCAGCUGCUGCUGCUGCUGCCUUAGUAGCUGAUGCUUCUUGAGAGCACUAAAAGAAUUAUCGAUUGGCGCAUCCAUCAUAUUCUCAAUCUUAACAUCCAACAUCUGUUGACCUUUGUCCAUUAGCAUAACGGGACCACGAGGGCUUGCCAAUUGGCGGCGGCGCAGCUCCUCCCAUUGGUGCGGUUGCAGCUGAUGCUGUUGCUGGAAUGCCAGGGUUUGACCCAUAUUCAUCUGGGGCAGCGGUCUUUGAAAUUGUUUGUUUGCAUACUGCAAAAAGUUUAGUUUAGCAUGUCAGUAUGCAAGAUAUGAUGAAGAAAAGUGAUCAUUUGGGGACCCAUAUGUUUCUGAGGUUUGCUCAAAGGAAAUUGAUCCAAUUGAAAAAAUAAAUGCAUUAAGAAUGUUUAGACGAGUGACAAAGUAAUCUAUCAUUUUUGCAGUCCACAAUCGGAAAAAGAAAGCCGCCCUUCGUAGACGGUCAAUGAUUAACGUCAGCAACACACUCGAAAGAUCAAGCUGGUAAAUAGUAGUCCUUAUAUAAGAAUGUCAGCGCCAAAGAUGGUGUAACAUAUGUAAGACCAAUAAUGCUGAUUAGCCCCCCCUUUCCUAAAUGUUUUAAGACAGUAUGUGUACUGUUAAAUUGGAACUUUAACAAUUAUCUGAAAAAUUAAAUUAUGACAUAGACAAAUUAUGCAAGUUGCUGUUCAAUAAUGCCAAAAGUCUCAGCUUGGAAGACCGACUUAGAAAGGAAUCAGUUGGACAUAACUAAGAAAUUUCAAAAGGAGUGAAGUGUAAUGACACCCGACUGCUUUCUUAUCAAAAAACCGUUAUAAUAACCGACCGUCCCUAGAGCAAGUGGCAAAGGGCUUGGUGGUUGGUACCCGAGGCCCAAGUUCGAAUCCUAGUUGAUUCACAUUUCCAGCUAAGUUUAUUUCUAAAUGAAAUAAACGAAACGGAUAGUGUGCUACUUAUCUCUCAAAAAAAAAAAAAAACCGUUAUAAUAUAUUAUUUUCCAUAUCAAGUUCAAUCUCACUCACUCUCAACAUCUGCCACCAAUUUCGCAAAACAUUCAUACACUAGUACAAGCUCGAGUCUCUGACAAUCAACAUGCAAUCAACAAAAGAUGGUUCACGAAGUUAUUCUCCUGUAGAAAAAUCAACAUGCCUUUGGUGCCUUGGCAGUUAGGGGUUUAGAUUUCCAUAUCACGCAAAAUAUCUGGACCAGUAGACUUAGAUGAAAUUCUUCAAAUAAGGCAUGGGUGACAGGUUGAAGUAAAACUAUCCGAGUAUACAUCCACAUGCCAUGUACUUACCUAUACUCUUAGCGUUUAGAUAGGGGAUAGGGAUAGGGAUAACCCCUUAUCCCCCUUUAUACCCAAACGCUAAUUUUUUACCCGAGAACAGUAGUUCUCGGUUACCUAUAAUAACCGGGUAUAACUAUUCCCACCAACACCUCCAUUUUCUAUAUAAAACUACCCACUAUUUUUCUUAUUCCAUAUUAUCUAUCCAAACGCUAUUUUUUUUUAUCCCCGGGAACAACUCAAUUUUCAUCCAAACGCUAUUUUUCUUAUCCCCAUACUUGUACCUAUCCCUGUAAUAGCUAGUUCUUGCUUAUACCCGAACCACACGCUAACAAACUGUUUAACAUCAUGUAUAUUUUCCACCCUUUUACUAGGUGUCCAAUUGUUAGUUCUAUACAUUGCUACAGUGUAGCAAUGUAUCUCCUAUUGUAGAAUUUAUAUAUGUUUGAAAAGGAGACAUGGACAUAACCACUAUUCUAUUCCUUCAGAAUCCGUAUUACAAAAAUAUAAUUUCCAACCAUAGAUUGUUCAUACAAUAUACACAUCAGUAUCCAAAUUUGGAGGAGAAAUAUGAUAUACAUAUGGUUUAAUUUAACAAUAUCCGAUUUGUUGUCACCCGUAGAUGCAUAUGCAAUAUGAGUUACAGAUGUAAACUGGCAAAAAUAGUACAGCAUGGUACGUGUGAUAGGUGGGUGCACAUGCAAUUCACAUAGAAUAAAUACAAAUACAGUGUAAAAAAUAAAAAAUAAAAAAUGCGGACAGAGAGGACGUACAUGGAAUAAUCAACAAGAAUAAGAGAAAUACGAGGUUUAUGACCUACUUAUAAAUUUAUUAUGGGAUAUUGUGACAUUACGCAUGGCAAAUUUUAAGUGAUUUAUUUUAACAAAAAACUAUGGAAUACAGAAUGAAUUACUGAUAAAAAACAAAUCAACAAGAGCUAAUUAUGUGCAUAUCAUCUUACUAGACUUAUAAGCAUCUAAAUGCAAGAUAGUGCAUGACUAAUGACUAGUGCCCAAUAUGUGACGUUCACACCAUAUGCAGUCUUUGUCACGCAGUUAAGUGAUUGCAUUAGUGUGGGUGCAUGCACUGCUUUUCAGAACAGUGCUAGUUACCUCAAGUGGUCUAGAAAUCACCGAAUUACAACAAAUGUAUAACAAGGAGAUUUUGCAUACUUGUUGAACCUGCAGAAGAGGGUUCUGAUGUUGCGACUGCAUUGGAUGAUUUUGUUGCUGCAUUUGGUGAGUGAAGACCUGGUUGCUACCUUUUGUAAAUUCUGCCAACACCCCAAAGGUGCUACCAAAUUAAAGAAAGGUAUCAUUAAUAGUUCAGCUUUAAAGAUGUGCAUCCAUAAGCUAACAAAUAUUGGGAUUCUAUACUUCACAGAGUGUGAUUUUAUGCAAUUAAAAUAAUUUAUGGAUAUAAACAUGUUAUUAUUGUUAAACAGUUCUCCUUGCAUGAUCUAAGCACCUGGAAGUACAAAACCAGCUCAUUUUAUGUCCUUAAAAAUCAAAACAACCUGUUGAAUAGCCUUGAAUGCUGCGGCGGUUUAAAACGUGCAGCAUCAUCUAAAUCAAAUGGCACAGAUAUGUUGUCCUGCUCGGAACUACUUAGGGGUUUCCAGAGCUCUUAUAUCAGCCACCACAAUAACAUAUGCCGAAUCAGAAGAGAAGCAUGAAUGAGAAGGGAAGAAGACACCAACUAUUGCCAGUUUGGUUUGAAGAAGAAUUGACAGGUUGCAAACUAAGGGUUAAAAGAACAACACAAUUUUUUUGGAAAUAUGUCGUUGUGAACUAUCGUGAUAUAAUUGGAAAUAAUCAAUGAAUGGGAGAGGAGGCUAUUUGAGGAUUGCUUUUGCCCCCCUCCUGACCAAAAACCAGUAAGUAACAAAACGUUGAGAAUCACUCAAUUGACAAAGAUUUAUGAUUUAAUGCAGAGCCAGAUCUAUGCCGUAAACUGAGCUUUCGAAGAAUAGGAAAAAUAGAAAAUAACCUCCAGAGUACAAAGAGUAAAAGAUAAAAGUUUACAAAUAAUAUAUCAAAUUGAUAAUUGUCUAGAGGGAAAAUGAGAUAAUGUUUUUAAUUUGAUAUGCAUAACGAGCUUUUUCAUCGAUCAUCAAGGACUUUCUUCUUGCUAUCUAUCAAAUUUUCUUACAACACCUCAUUGCAACAUGCUUUUAGAUCUCACUACACUGUGCCCAUGUAUUGUCAAAAGAAAAAUGAGAGAAUGCGCUUGGAAUUGUUCGAAAACAAACCACAUCAUGUGGACAUCAACCAGAAGAGUAAUCAGCUCACCUAUAUCCUGCUGCUUGCAGAAACAUCUUUAGAAGCUCAAUGGACGUAAACUGCUUCUUGUAACCAUCGGACAAAAGCUUCAGAGUGCGGCCUAGUUUGGAAAUAUGCCUACCAAAAACUUCCGAGAGAACUUCAAGUGAAACUUCAUUUCCGCCUUCGAAACCAGCAGUUGCUAAGAAACGAGCAACUACCUUCAGAGUCAUCUGCAAUGCUUGCUCACGACUGAGAGAUCUCCCUUCCUCUCCAGAUCCAUAUUUUCCCCUAUAUUUUCUUCCCAUUUUCUGGUAUUCAGGAAUUAUCCCAAAUCUUUCGAUCAUUGCUGGGCUCCGGGUCAUUAAUGGGGGCAAAUUUUCAAGAACCCCGUAGAUUUCAACCUUUUGAUUAUCAACCCUAUUUACUUGUGGUAGUGCAGUAUCGGGUACACAAUCAGAUGGAAACAUUAUCUCUGGAAAGAAAACCUCAUCGGCCGAGUUAGAUUCCAAGGUGGAAUCAGUGGUACCUAUAAACUGACUUUCGUUAAAUGCUUGUCUCUUCCUUUUAUGGGUGUUACAGAGCUUAAGAUAAAUAGACAUUCCAUCAGGUGUUCGCCUCGGUAUCUCUUUGUCGCCCAGCAGAAGUCUGUGAUGUCUUAUUCUGUGUUUGUCAGCAAACUGUUUAUACCAUGUUUCAGGCCACUCUUCGUGCCUGUGCCUAGAUUGUGCCUGCAUCAUGCAAAAGAGAAUCAGCUUAAGUUUGUUGAGAAACUCUUUUUGACAACUAGAAGGCAUAGGAUCUUUCUGGAUAGUUCAGCAAGGUUACCUCUUAAUUUUGUGCAAGCAUGCUAUAUCUUGUCAAAUCAAUCAUUUUAACUGCAUUAAGCAGUUCUUCGCAAAUAAGUGACUAGUUAUUAGUAGCUUUAGUUUGGUACAUCUAGCAUGGGACAGUUCUUCGCAGUUCAAAACGACACAGGAAAUCAAGUUGAAUAGAUCUUUUCAUCCACAUCGCAGAUGUUUGUGCGAAUUGUUUUGAUCAAUAGAAAAAAAAAAAAAAAAAAAAAAAAAAAAGGAUCCACCGUGGGCCGUAACAACCAUCCAAUCGAAGAUGCGGUUAUAUUUUGUUCGUGGAAGACCAGUGAAAUAAAAAGAAAAAAAAAUGAUAAAACACAGAUUUUUCCCCUAGUAGAACAAUUUUCUGGUUAAUUUUAAAGAUCAUAACUUACCUGNGGGACAGUUCUUCGCAGUUCAAAACGACACAGGAAAUCAAGUUGAAUAGAUCUUUUCAUCCACAUCGCAGAUGUUUGUGCGAAUUGUUUUGAUCAAUAAAAAAAAAAAAAAAAAAAAAAAGAAAAAAGAACCCUCACUCUAUAUUGAAACCUGUCACUAAGAAGAUAAUCUUAUAUUUUGAGCUUUGAGCACCAGUGAAAUAAAAAGAAAAAAAAAUGAUAAAACACAGAUUUUUCCCCUAGUAGAACAAUUUUCUGGUUAAUUUUAAAGAUCAUAACUUACCUGAAUAUGAGCAUCAUCUUCUCGGUCAUCUUCUAACGUGAAAUAAACAUCAUCCCCAUGAAGCUGCAAAUCUGUAAAAAACAAAAAGCUAAUCGAAUCACACCAUAAAUCACCCAAAAAAAAAAAAGAAGGAUUUCCUAGGAACAAGGAAAUGAUCGGUCUACAUAUCAAAUCAAACUAUAUUUCUCAACAAUCAUACUUUUUACGCUUAACGACGAUUCAAUCCCACCAUUCUAACCCUAAUUCUAAGCAACUACCCCUAAACUCCACCCAUUCAAGUAACAAUAUAGACGCGAUGAACUCACAUUUUCAGGGUUUAUAUCGGCGAGCGAUCAAACUACAAAUCAAAUCAAACUGCAAUUUUUUUGACAGAUCACACUCUCUACACUAAAACAACCACGAAAUGAUACAAUCCCACCGUUCCAAAACCGUAAUUCUCAGCGAUCCCAAAGCUCCACAGGAUAAACUCACAGUUAGGGUUGAUGUUGGCGAGGGAGGUGGACGACGCGGAGGCGGGGGGGAGGAAGAGGGAGAGGGAGGCCUUGUCGAAGAGGAGGGCGCGGGCGCGGAGUUGGAGGUGGAGGCGGGCGCGCGAGGAGGGCGAGGGGGAGGGGGAGGAGAUGGGGGAGAGGAACGACUCCCACGUGGCGGCGGAGGAGAGGGCGUGGGCGAAGACGGCGUACGCGGCGUCGCCCAACCAGGCGCGCCACGCGCCGCAUGCGUCCAGCCUCCGCGCCAGCUCGUAGCCGCGCCCGUCCUCCCCCAAGAGCAGGUGCGGCGCCGCCGCCGCAGCCGACGACGACGACGACGACAUCUCCGGCGCCGCCACCAGCGCCGCCGCCGCCGCUGCCGCCGUAGUGAGGUGGAUCGUCGGAGGAGAGAGGAGACGGUGCUUGGAGAUAAACUCUUCGUCUCUCUUCGUCUCUCUCUCUCUCUCUCGGAAGUAAAUGUCUGGAUAGUCCCUCUACUAUUAUAUUUAAUUUUUGGGUUUUUAUUUUUGUAAUUAGCCGCCUGAAAAAAAUUUAUUUUAAAAAUAGCCUCAGCAAAUUUAAAUUUACAAAAAUAGUCCUGAUCUUGCCACUCAGGCAUCACAUCAGCGCCACGUGGACGGAUUGGGUUGGGGUGUUAAGUUGAAUACGGUGAACCAUUCACCGUGUUCAAACACGGUGAAUGAUUCACCGUGUUCCAUAUUUAUCUUUUUAAUAAUAUGUAUUUUUUUUUCCUUUUCUUUCUCCAGACACGGUGAAGCAUUCACCGUAUUUAAACACGGUGAAUGGUUCACGGUAUUUAACUUAACUAUCUGGCAUAGCCCGGCCCGCAUGGCGCUGACGUGGCGCCUACGUGGUAGGGUCAAGGUCAUUUUUGUAAAUUUAAAUUUGCUGAGAUUAUUUUUAAAAUAAAUUUUUUUCAGAGAGCUAAUUGCAGAAAAAGUUCUUAUUUUUUUAUUUUUUUAUAGAAAUUUUCAUACUAAUACAUAAAAAAUAAAAGAGUUAGAAUAAUUAAUUUUUUACUUAUUUUUAGGAAUUUUUUUUUUCUCUUUCGAUUGACUUCAACGUAGGGCAAAGUUAAUUGCACAUUUUAAAAAAAUAGAGUUACAUACGAAUUUAAUUUAAGCAGACCACCUAAUAGAAGUAGGCAUUUAAGGGCGAAAAAAAUAUUUUUACCCCUUCAACUUUCGGUAAAACAAAUAAUUAUUUUUAAUUAUUUUUUUUGAAAUUUUUUUUUUUUCUCAUUUGUAUUUGCACUAUGUGGAACAAAGUCAAUUACGGCAUUUUAAAAAAAGUAGAGUUACAGCCGAAUUUAAUUUUAUGCGAACUAAAUAAUAAAAAUAAGUAUUUACGGGUGAAAAAUAACUUUGCCCCUAAAACUUUCAGUAAAAUAAAUAUGUCCUAGCGAAGAUGGAUUACUCAAAAAACAAAAAAGAAAUCAUGCAUUUUCUACAUGCCCUGCUGCACAUGAACUAUUUUCUUACUCUUGUGCGACACGAUGAAUUGGGGUCAUCUAGUAUGGAUGAUUAAAAUUUAUCUCGUCGCUGAUUAGUGGUGGGAUAUUUUCAUGAGCAGAAAAAAUUCUACAUACAAAAUAGAAGAGAAAUUGUUCUCAAUGUACAGUUUUAUUUAUCAAUUAAGUAUUUUAGGUUCUUAAAUUCUAUAUAGAUAUUAAGCUUAAGAAACAAAUUUUGUGAUUUUAAAAAAUUACUUCUCUAGUGAUCGAAAAACCAUCAGUUGUAAGUUUGACAACCUACAUACAUAAGAUGUCUGCUUCAUUUACUGGCGUAUAACAUUUCAAAUAAGUUGAAUUUUUAUCAGAAUUAUUUUUUUACUAUUUAGAUAGCAUUUAGCACCUUGAUCAAAAAUUGGCGAAAUCUAACGUCUUAUUUCAAAAGAAUAUUUUGAUUUUGACAAUCUGUUAGUACCCGCUUUCCGAAAUAAACAAACUUUAAAAAAAUCACAAAAUUGGCUAGCAAUAUUUUUUUAAAAAAGUACGAAACUAAACUAAAUUAUAGAUCACUUUAAAUUGAGUAUCUAAUCUUUCAAAAUUUUGAUUUUACUAAAUCUUUCAUUAUGAUUGAUUUGAGUUAAUCAAACGGUACGUUGACUUCAAAAUUAAAUAGCUCGUUUCUUUUUACAAGUUUAGCUAAUAUACUCUACACAAUUCAAGUAAUUAUAAAUUUAUUAAAAUAAGAAAUUACUUGAAAGUUUAAAAUGAAAGCACCGUUGACUGAUGCAAAUCAAUCAAAUUUCAAAUUUUGAAAGGCCAGAUAAUGAAUUCAAAAUGGUAUAUAGUUCAGAUAAAUUAUGUAUGUUAUAAUCUUAAAGAAUAGUAACUUGAAUCAAAUUUGGACAAACUUAGAACGCGUGAGAAUUUUGAAUCGAAUAUUUAAGAGUAGCAGUACAGAAAUAAAAUCGUAAUAUCCAAAUAGUCCAAGGACUAUCCUUACAUUUAUCCUGUCCAAUAAUUAAAACGGCUACAUAAUCUCAAUUGUGGAAACAAAAAUAAUUUUUCAUCCUCUACACCUUUCAUAGCACCAGCCUAUCUAAACCGGGAAAACCAAAAAGAAAGAAAACAAUCCCACUCUUUCCUUUCAUUCCCACCAACAUAAUUUAAUUCAAAAUUUUUUUUACACUAGCCGUUAGUGCAUUCCUUCUUUGCCCUAAUCCCCACCAUACAUACUCCACACUAUAUGUAAAAUAAAGGGGAAAAUCACAAAGAUCAAAGAUCUUCUACCACUAAAGAUUCUCUAAAAUCUUUCUUAGAUUCAUCUCUUAGCUUCUCCAAAUCUUUGUAGGAUUUUAUUUAGCCAAGUAUAUAGGUAUGUCUAUUUCCAACUCCAAUAAUAAUCUCGCUUUAAAUGAGUUUAAUCCGAGGAGGUGCGCUGCAUGCAAAUAUCUAAGAAGGCGGUGCUCCGAAGACUGCGUUCUCGCUCCGUACUUCCCCCCGUCCCUCCCUGAAAGAUUCACCUGCGUCCAUAGGAUCUUUGGCGCCAGCAAUGUCGCAAGAAUGCUCCAAGUACGUAGAUAGAUACAUGCAUAAAUAUACAUAUUUAUAUUAACAUAAAUACAUGCAUGCAAAAUAACUUGCCUUGAGAAUUUGAUUUAUUGCUAGUAGUGCAAAGUAUACGUACAUGCUAUGUUGAACAUGUUAAUGGUCUCAUUAUUAACAGUUAAUUAGUAUCGGAACAGCUUCUUGAGUAAAAGUGACUAGAAAGCUAAACAGAGUUCUUUAAACAGCUCUGUUUAAAUAGUGCAUACAUAAUUUCUCCCGUUCGGAUUUAACAUGCUGUUACUCGUUACGCUCACAUACUUUUUGUUUGUUGACAGCAAUUGCCAGCUCACCAGCGAGCUCAAGCGGCCGACACCCUCUCGUUGGAGGCCUAUUGGCGGGUGCGCGACCCGGUCUACGGGAGCGUCGGGAUCAUCAACCUUCUGCAGCAGGAGAUCUACGGGAACCAACACGAGCUCGCGAGAACCCAAGCCCAGAUUGCAAUGUACAGAGCUCAACACGACCACCACCACCACCACCACCACCAACAGCAACAGCAACAACAACAAGAACAGCGGGAGACCGCCGACGGAGCCCACGAGCCCGUCGAGCCCACCCCAUUUCUUGGGCCCCCACAGCAGGAUAAUUGUGCCCUAGAGAGAACAUUUCUUGAAUCCAACCAUUUUCCAGAUUUUUUCUGAAAAAAUAAAAUUUGCCACAACCUAAAUCAAUAAGUCCAAGGGAAAGGGAAGGAAAAGGGAUUGUUAAAUUCUUUUUAAUUCGUUGCAAUAAUAAGUCAAUAAAGAGGAAGGAUUUAUUCCGUAGUUUUUUGCUUCCGCUUCUUCUUCUUAUAAAAUAUCAAUAGAACAGCUAAUUGAAACAGAUUUCACUUACAUUUUAGAGAAAAAAAAAAAAGAAAGAAAGAAACUGAUUCAUUUCAUAUAGCUCUGUUUAAACCAAUUUUUUAUUGUCCAUGACCACAUUAGAGAUACAAUCUUUCGCGCAAUUUAGUAUAAGAGUAAACAAUAUCUAUCUAAAAAGAGGAGAACGUGCUAAAUCCGUCUAAACUUUUGCACAAUUUGAGAUCAUCAUUUAAAUUUUGAAGAUACCAGAAAAUCACCUGAACUAUCUUUUUAUAUAUAUAUAUAUAUAUAUAAAACUCCUUUGAAGGUUUUUUUUUUUUUAUAAAUACGAAGCUAUCGUGAUAUUUUAUUUCAGUUUAUUAUAUACUUUGAAGGUGGGUAAUUGUAUGCUCGUUUCAAAUUACACAAGGUCCUGAUGAAUCUGAAGCUUUUUUUCCUCUCUCAAAAAAAAAAGAAAAAAGAAGAAGCCAUUCUCAUUGCUUGGUUUGAACUUUAUUCGAGAAGUAACGAAAAAUUGUACACUAUAAUCCAUCACAUUACACAAUAUUGUUACAACAACAAGAGCAAGAGCAGUUUUUUAAAAGUGUUUCAUAACUUGGCAUAUUUCUUAAGAGCAUCCCCUGCAUUUUUGGAGUUCUCCGGCACCGGAAGAUCGGAGAUAAGGGUGACCCUGGAGGAUGAUAUGAGAACUCCCUUCUCCAUGGUGGAAGGGUCCAUCUUCCACAAUCUCACCUCCCAUACCUGGUCGCAAAAUUUGUACCAUUUAAAACUGUUCCGAAAAGAUGAAAUCGUAUAGAGUUGACCUAAACUUUGCAUUAUUUGGAAAAAAAAAAAAAAAUCUAUCUUUUAAAAAUUUUGAUUUUGCAAUCUGACCUUUUGAUUCGCCUUCUUAAAAGUAGAUAUUUCUACGUCGUAACUUAGUUUCUUUAAAUGCAUCUCAAAUUGUUAAUUUGAUCAUUUAAUUUUAACUAGAAAACUACAACUCAUUAGAAAUGAAUAAUUGAAUGUACAAAUGCACGGGGUGCAUACACACAGCUUUUCAAGACUAAUAAAGAGUUAAAUGUUAGACUUAAAUCAUAUGUGUUAGACUUAAGUUAUAUGACCCAUUUCAGUGUGGCCCUAUUUGACCGACCCGCAACUUAUUAGAUGGGGUUAGUAUUGUUACCCGCUCCAUUAAGUUGAUUAUGAAAAAUGGUGGGAAUGAUUAUAAGGUGUUGAAUCCACUACCUCACUAAUUAGUGACAUUCAUAUGAAAUGAUCCUUUUUUCUUUGGUGGUGUGAAAAACUACAUAUCAUUAUAAGAGAAAUAAUCAUUGCAAUUAUAUAAAUGCAUUCCGGUUAUUUGAAAGAGAAUCAUAGGAGUCGAUCACAAUACGGGAUCGAGUGGUGCUUGGAGACGAGAUUAAAGUAUUUAAGACGAUCCUCAAUUGUAAUUUCACUAUGGAACCUGGUAUAAUCCAUAUGUUUUUCAACACUAAAAUCAUAUAAAACUAAAGAUUAAAUAAUAAAAUUAAAAAUUUUAAAGAUAAAGCCGUUGUGUCCAAACCACCGAAAGUUACAGGUUUGUCACAUACAUCUUUACUUUUUGAAAAUAAACUUGUCUGAUUGUAAGGAGGUGAAUAGGCGACUCAGGAUCGGGUCCAAAUUAGCCCAGAUCCGACCCAACAACUCUGAACAUGCCAGGCAUGGGUCUGGGUCUGGGUCUAGGUCUGAGUCUGAGUCUGAGUCAGGUUCAGGUUCGGGUGAGAAAUUGGUUCCUAAAUUGCGACCCGUUCAAAUUUGUUUUGUUUGUAUAUGUUGAAUUUCAUUUAUUUAUCGUUUUUAAUGUCCAACGAAGUAAGCCAUAAAAUUGACUACUGCAAUUCUUUUGCCGUUUAAAGCUUUAGACUCAAUACAUAUACAUAUAUAAUUAAAUUUAAUGUGUGUGUAUAUAUAUAUAUAAUAUCAAAAUUUUAAUAAACGUGUAUGAUAUUUUAUAUUUUGUUAGAUUUAAGUUAGAUUUGUAGUUACCUAAAUUGAAAUCAAAUUCUAAUUAAAUUAGAAUAGAAUGAGAUUUAGAUUUAUUAAAAACAAAUAGAACUUAAUAAAGGGUUCAAUUGAAGUACAAAUUUUAACUAGACUCUGUUUUGCACUCAUGCAUUAUGCAAUGCAUGGUUACGAGGACAUUAAUUAGGCCGAGCUCUAAUUAACCAAGCCAAGGUGUGUGCCGAGGGAAGAUUGGCUAAAGGUCCAUUUGGUUCAACAUAAAAUCGUAAAAAAUAAUUUUUCAUAAAAAAAUUUGAGGGUAAAAAAUUUUUAUGUUUUAUAGUGUUAGUUUGUAGGGAAAAAAAAAUUCCAUCAAUAUUUAUUUAGUUGAAAGAACAAAAAUCCCUAUUUUGUAUGUUUUUUGGUGAAAAAAUAAAUGAAAAAAAAUUGUACACAACUUUGAAUUUUUGUUUUCCGUUAAAAAGACAAUGAAAAAGGAAAUCUUCAAUUUUUUUUUCUAGUAAUAAAUUUUAUUACAGUAAUAAAAAUUUUUGCUCCGAUUUUGUCGGUAAAUAUAGGCCGAUGAUCGGGAUACAUAAAUAUUAGUAUGCUUUUAUUUUUUUUUCUUUAUUUCGCAAUUUUUUUAAAAAUUUUUGCGUGACCAAAAAUACAUGAGUAGCAUGACAAAUCACAAACAACUGUUCGGGUCGGGCCAAAAGAUGGGUCGGGUGUAGUCGCAUAGGUGGACCCAAUUUGAUUUGUUUGGAUUUGGAUAUAUAUACAUCAGGACACACUUUCAUGGAACCGUCAAUCAUAGUUAGUUAAUUCGGAUUCGGCAAAAAUUCGAUACGGGUAUAAUUCGGAUAAAAUUCAUCUUUUAAUUUUUAAAUUCGUUGAAAAAUACGGCUAAAAAACGGAUUUGGUAAUUAUUCGGAUACGUAAUUUAUAUGAAUAUUAUACGUUUACCAAUUAAAAAUUCAGAAUAAAAAAUUUGGCUAUAUAAUAAAUAUAUAAUAACUAAUAUACUAUAUAUAUUAUUUUUAUGCUUUUUUUUAUAUAAAAUAAAUAUAUUCAAAGUUAUAAUAAAUAUAUAUUAAUAAUAUAU
rnacentral:lncRNA from 1 species